GCUGAAAUAAAGGGGUGCUUUAACAGGCUGAGAUUAUACCCAAUGAACCUGGAACAGAUAAUGCUGUUUAGGGAAUUUUGAAAAUGUAUCA
rnacentral:ncRNA from 1 species